GCGAUCUCUACUCUCUCCAUCUCACCAACUACUGAUUAUUAUCUUAUUCUUUGCUUUCAAGAUUCUCUGUUUUACCUGCUUAUUUGGGGUCUCAGGAGCUGAGGUUAAGAAGGAGAUGCAAAGCUUGGAGCCUCCCAGAGUAUGUCAGAGGAAGACUUCAGUUUGGGACUUCAAUCAGGAGAAAUAUGUGCACAUACAUAAGAUGCCAUAUUACAUGGUCUCUGCUGGCAGGAGUUUAAAUGGGAAAGACCAUCUGGAAACCCAGAAGAAAAGAUACUACAAAACUGGCUCUAAAAGCAGAUAGUUCAUUCAUUAAAAGGGGAGUGUUUUGACCUUGUCAAAUUUGCAUUACC